rnacentral:lncRNA from 1 species
AGGCAGAUGCUAAUACCAAUAGUCUUCAGUAGGAAGAGGUCACUCAUUUCUUCUCAUGCAAGUAAAAUAGGGUAGGGUAAUAAAGUGACCAAACUAUACACACGUGCAUGCACCCACAUAUGCAUAUUAUAUAUAUAUUUAUAUAUUUAAGCUGAAUUGCAGAAUGACUGUGGUUGGGAGGCACCUCUGGAGAUCAUCUAUUCCAACCCCUGCAUUUAUAACUGUGUAUGCUUAAUUUCCUGAAAUACCUGCAUGUUUAAGGCCCCUGCCUCAGACUGUUGUAGUUUGCUGCCCUGACUCCAUUACAACUGUCUUUGGUUGAGCUUCUGCCCAGGAUGCAAAUGACUGAAGCUGCUGCCAUUCCUCCAGACAUGAACGCACUCUGUCUGUAGAUAUGAAACAGCUGUUAAUGUCAAUAAUUCAGAGAGAGUGGAGUUGGCAUCCUGCAUUUCUCUUGUCAGCUGGAAUGAUGAUUGAACAUAACUGGCCACUUCAAAUUAAGUUAUCCAUUUGCACAAUGUAUUAUGCCUGACUGAUCCAUUUCCCCUGCUAUUGAGUGGUAGAUUGUGGAUUAGUACCUCGAGCCAACGCCAGUCUGCAUGGGAACGUAAUAGGAUCUUGUAUCGUUUUUAAUGGUGAGUUAUGGGCUGUCACACAGAAUAUCUGGACACACUUAAUAACUUUCUGACGACAACUGUAACAGACAUAAUGGUAAGUAUGUGUUGUCACUGAGCUGCUGGAGAGGCAGGCUCCUGCUUGCCAGGUGCUAUUACACUGGACUGAAUUACCUUUGUAGAUACUUCUGUAGUUACAAACUUUUUCCUAGCUCCAGUAGUGCUUAAAUAAAAAAUUGAUCCCAUGGAAUUAUAUUGCUGAAUAUUAAAGUCGGUAUUUAUUUGCAAGAGUCACUUUGGGGUGCCUAAUUUGUCCGCGAGAGCAAGGUUUUUUGCUCAGGCUGCAAAAUGGUGCAAUAAAAAUCAGUGAUUGAUGUUUAUUAUCAGAUUAAAUGGUUUAGCUGUGGGGAUCAAAGUUAUAAAUUACAGCACUCCCCAAGCUGUGAUUGGCCACUAGAGAUCUUUCUAAGUGCCAGCGUUUUUUAAUGAGAUCAUAUAUUUUCAAGCCUCUAACAGUAUCAACUUUUGUAGUUUAUUGAAACUGUGUUUAAAAUAACAGCUUACGGGGUGUCAAAAAUAUUGGAUGUGUUUUGUAUUUGCUUGGUCCAACAUCCUGGGGGGAAAAGCCAUGGCUUUGAAAAUGGUGGUUUUGAUAACCCAGCGAACAUUGCAGUUCAGUCUGGGGACCUAAAGGAGCAUGAGGGCUGUAGCAUUUACUUUGUUUGGGUUUUGGUCAUUUCAUUUAGAACUUGGGGCUGAAUCUGCUCUGGGUC